rnacentral:misc_RNA from 1 species
UCACAUAUAUUUGUACAGGUCACCAAAUUCUCAUGUGGCGGAUUUGUGAUUGGCUACGUGUACGACCACGCUGUCGCUGAUGGUGUCGGGAUGGCACAAUUCAUGGUCGCAAUAUCCGAGCUGGCAAGAGGUCUCGACGCUCCCACCAUACAGCCCAUCUGGUCCAGGGACUCCAUCCCCGUCCCAUCCAAGCCACCUCCACGUGGCCCG